AAACUCCCACUCUUCAAGAAACAGCUUAAGGAGCUAGUUUAGAAGAAGAUGCUAUGUGCCAUACCAGACUAAUUGUUCAUCUGCCUCCUUAUUGUCUAAAUCAGAGAUAGGAAAUAUGUGGUAUCCAGCUGUUGCCAAACUCCCCUCAUCCCUCACCAUUGGCUGUGGUGUCUAGGACUGACAGGAGUUACAAUCCAAGGAUAUUGGGAGGGCCAGAUAUUGUCCAUCUCAGUCUACAUUCUGGAUUGGAUCCAGGCAUAGUUAUACUUAAAGCAGACCUAUUGAAAUGAGGGAGACUUACCUUGGUCAUGACAAACCUCAGGUUCCACAGGUUUAAGUGGCCUUAGUCUAAGUGUAUCUUCAUCCUAAUGAUUAGCAGAGUGUUCUGUUUUACAGAGUGCAAUCCUUUAUCUAAAUAUGCACACUGUCUAAACCAGUUGUCCAGUUUAAAGAUAACUGUAAAUGGAGAAACUAGCGUUCUUCAAGUAGCCAAAUGAUUAUUACAGUCUGGACAAUAGACUAACCAAAUAGAUUACCUGGCCAGUCUUCCUUACAUGCCACAAAGAACCUGGGCUCCUCAGGACAAGGUCUUCUUGUUUGAAAAAAUCUGGCCUUUUCCAUUCCACUCACCGUCAUGGCUCCCACUCUGCUUCGUUCCUGGUGGCCAACAAUAUCCUGAAGAUUAAAAAAGACCUAAUAAGGAUCCAAGCAUAAUUGUAAGAACAUUGCCAUAUGGAUACUGCAGCAAAGGGCAGUGGGACGGGAAGGCAAGGGUACAGCCGUUCUACCAGCCCUGUUGAAAG